CUUUGCCCAUGUUCCUGUUUUGAAGUUUCCUCUUGGCCUUUGGCUUUUUCCUUUUGGAUUUUGAUGGACUUUGUCUGAACUAAAGACAGCACACACGUGGAGAUGGCUGUGAUCGAGGAGGAUUCUGAAAAACACACAGCAGUAGUUUGGUCUCCAAAAUGUCUCAAGGCUGACGGGACGUUAAAGAGACCAAAGUCUGUGUGUGAGGUACCCCCAUAUUGAACAUGUCUGUGGCCCCUUGAACAGAACCUUCUUUCACUGACUUUGGUUGUAACCAAACAGUCGAGUUAUUUUGCAAACGGCACAGUGCUUGCCUGUUUGCUGAAAUGCCUCAUUAUGUGCUUUGUAUGUACACACAUACAUCAAACUGUCACUACUCCCUCACUUUAUAGAAAAGCUGUUGGUUUCAAAACAUUUUCUUAAUCAGCAUUCAAAACUUCUAUUUGUUUCAAACAUACAUGUGUGUGUUGGAAGAAUAAUAAUGUUAAAGCCCCUUUGAGGAGUUCUUACCUGGUUAGGAAACAGACCGUCAUAAAUACUGAAUCCUUCUAACUACCUACAAAACCCAGACCAUCAACAAUAAGAUUCAAUAUUUCUUUAUAGUACAUUUUAAAUGGCUGCAAGGUAGUGUAGUGGUUAGUGCUGUUGCCUCACCGCGAGAUGGUUCCUGGUUCGAAUCCCCGACAGACAGGAGCCUUUCAGUGUUGAAUUUGCAUGCUGUCCCCGUUCUUGCAUGGGUUCUCUCCGGGUACUCUGGCUUCCUCCAGUUCAAACACAUGCUCGUUAGGUUAUUUGGUGACUCUAAAUUUCCCCUAGGUAUGAAUGUGAGUGUGACUGGUUAUCUGUCCCUCUAUAUCAGCCUGUGACCAGUCCAGAUUGUUACCCGUCUCUCGCCCACUAUGAGCUAGGAUCUACUCCAGCCCCCCCGCUGGAUAAUGGAUGCAUGGAAGUUUUAAAUGUCUGUUUCCGCUGCUGUAGGGUAGAUGCCAGACGAAGCCGGCUGUAAGCAGUCACGCUGCAAAAAUAGGCUUUCUUUACUACUUACCAAAUAUUCUCAAUGAGCCACACGUUUGUCUUUUAAAACAACAAGCAGGAUGAUACAUUAUCUUUAAAGACACGACUCACCCAUACAGGAGAAGAUCAGCAAAGAAAUGAGAAGAACCACUUUGUCCACAGCGGUGCCAAAAUCAAUAUGAAGUGAAUGUUCCUCACAGAGGGAGAUGCAUGAAUGGCUACAACACAAAAACAUCACUGUAUCACACACCUCCUCUCUCUCUUUCUUAUUCAUUUAAAAUGUCAAGGAAACACCUCACUGCGCAUUCACUUAAUCAUGCUAAACCUGAACAGGAACACAUGUCCUCCGCUCGCCCACAGACCUGUUACCUAAUACCUCACACACUUAAUGCCACGCUCUGAAGUGGGGACCAACAGGAGCUGUGGAAAUAAACAAUUGAACAAAGGGUGACCGUGGUCGAGGUAUUCUGACAAAUCAGGUUGUGAUUAGUAAUGUCUGUGACACAGCUAAUGAAUCAUCACUGCCUUUGACCCUGAAUGAACAAUACUGAGUCUCUAUGAAUGAGCUGUUUCAGUGAAUGCUCCUCAGUACACACAGUACAAGAGAGGAAUAAUAUGCUUCCUCCCUCUUGUAUCUGAUCUAUCCAUCGAAUAUGAACU